GACGAACGCUGGCGGCGUGCUUAACACAUGCAAGUCGAACGGAAAGGCCCUGCUUUUGUGGGGUGCUCGAGUGGCGAACGGGUGAGUAACACGUGAGUAACCUCCCCUUGACUUUGUGAUAACUUCAGGAAACUGGGGCUAAUACCGGAUAGGAGCUCCUGCUGCAUGGUGGGGGUUGGAAAGUUUCGGCGGUUGGGGAUGGACUCGCGGCUUAUCAGCUUGUUGGUGUGGUAGUGGCUUACCAAGGCUUUGACGGGUAGCCGGCCUGAGAGGGUGACCGGCGACAAUGGGACUGCGAUACGGCGCAGACUCGUACGGGAGGCAGUAGUGGGGAAUAUUGCAGAACGGGCGGAAGCCUGAGGCAGCAAUGCCGCGUGCGGGAUGACGGCCUUCGGGUUGUAAACCGCUUUCGCCUGUGACGAAGCGUGAGUGACGGUAAUGGGUAAAGAAGCACCGGCUAACUACGUG
rnacentral:rRNA from 1 species